rnacentral:rRNA from 1 species
GGUUCGAUCAUGCCCAGAUUGAAUGCCGCUGGCGGGAUGCUUUACACAUGCAAGUCGAACGGCAGCACGGAUCCCCGGUCUGGUGGCGAGUGGCGAACGGGUGAGUAAUGUAUCGGAACGUGCCUAGUGGCGGGGAUAAUCACGCGAGUUGUAGCUAAUACCGCAUACGGAUGCCCUUCAAAGGAAAAAAGCGGGGACCUUCGGGCCUCGCACUAUUAGAGCGGCCGAUAUCGGAUUAGCUAGUUGGUGGGGUAACGGCUCUACCGCGACGAUCCGUAGCUGGUUUGAGAGGACGACCAGCCACACUGACUGGUGACACGCCCAGAUCACGGGAGGCAGCAGUGGGGUUCUGGAUAUCAAUGGGAAAACCCUGAUCCAGCCAUCCCGCGUGUGUGCGAUGAAGGGCUUCGGGUUGUAAAGACUUUUGGGCAGGAAAGAAACGGCACGGGAUAAUACCCCGUGCAACCGACGGUACCCGCAACAAGCACCGCCAACUACGCCGCAGCCGCGUAAUACGUAGGGUGCGUUAAUCGGAAUUACUGGGCGUAAAGCGUGCGCAGGCGGUUCGGAAAGAAAGAUGUAAAUCCCAGAGCUUAACUUUUGGAAACUGCAUUUUUAACUACCGAGCUAGGAGCGUGUCAGAGGGAGGUGGAAUUCCGCGUGUAGCAGUGGAAAUGCGUAGAUAUGCGGAGGAACACCGAUGGCGAAGGCAGCCUCCUUCGGGAUAACACUGACGCUCAUGCACGAAAGCGUGGGGAGCAAACAGGAUUAGAUACCGGUAGUCCACGCCCUAAACGAUGUCAACUAGCUGUUGGGGCCUUCGGGCCUUUGGAAGCAGCUAACGCGGAAGUUGACCGCCUGGGGAGGCCGGUCGCAAGAUUAAAACUCAAAGGAAUUGAUUUGGGACCUGCACAAAGUGGUGGAUGAGGGAUUAAUUCGAUGCAAAUGCGGAAAACCUUACCUACCCUUGACAUGUCUGGAAUCCCGAAGAGAUUUCGAGUGCCUGCAAGAGAACCGGAACAGGUGCUGCAUGGCUGUCGUCAGUCGUGCCGAGAUGUUGGGUUAAGUCCCGCAACGAGCGCAACCCUGUCAUUAGUUGGAGUUACGGAAAGGGCACCUAAUGAGACUGCCGGUGACAAACCGGAGGAAGGUGGGAUGACGUCAAGUCCUCAUGGCCCUUAUGGGUAGGGUCACACGUCAUACAAUGGUCGGGACAGAGGAGUCGCCAACCCGCGCAGGGAGCCAAUCCCAGAACCCGAUCGUAGUCCGGAUCGCAGUCUGCAACUCGACUGCGGAAGUCGGAAUCGCUAGUAAUCGCGGAUCAGCAUGUCGCGGUGAAUACGUUCGGGUCUUGCACACCGCCCGUCACACCAUGGGAGUGGGUUUUACCAGAAGAAGUACCAACCGUAAGGAGGGCGAUUACCAGCCGGUAGGAUCUUAUGACUGGGGUGAAGUCGUAACAAGGU